rnacentral:rRNA from 1 species
UACGAAGGGGGGCUAGCGUUGCUCGGAAUUACUGGGCGUAAAGCGCACGUAGGCGGAUCUUUAAGUCAGGGGUGAAAUCCUGGAGCUCAACUCCAGAACUGCCUUUGAUACUGAGGGUCUUGAGUUCGGGAGAGGUGAGUGGAACUGCGAGUGUAGAGGUGAAAUUCGUAGAUAUUCGCAAGAACACCAGUGGCAAGGACGGCGCUC